AUAAGAGUAAUUGAGAGAGGGGUGCCACACAUUUACCGCAAAUAGAUCACGCAUUCGUGAUCGUUCAUCAUUUGCAAACCUUUCAAGAUUUGUAGAAUUAAUCCAGCAGUUGGAUCUCGAUUGAACAAUUAAAUUCCAAAUAAACUUGAACAUUUGAAGAAACUACAAAUUUCUCUCGCACACUAAAGUGAAAUUACACAAAUGCUCACACAAAUGCUUGACAAGUUCACAAAUUUACCAAAUAAGAAAAAUGAAUUGUCAAUUGAACUUCAAUAACUCGACAAGCAAUCUUCUACCGGACCUCCAUUAUCCGAUUUAUGUUACGUAUGUAGGUUCAGAGUAUGUUGCUGGUUGUACACACACCAUUGUUACGAAAACAACCAAAGUUGAUUCAAAACCAUAGAAGCAAUAAUAGAGGCCAAUUCAAAAAACAAUAGAAGCAAUUAUAGAGGCCAAAUUGCAUUUUUACUUACUUCCUGAACUUAAUUACGGAACUGAUUUGUCAUUUCCCAACUNNNNNNNNNNNNNNNNNNNNNNNNNNNNNNNNNNNNNNNNNNNNNNNNNNNNNNNNNNNNNNNNNNNNNNNNNNNNNNNNNNNNNNNNNNNNNNNNNNNNAAUACAGUUUGCACCCUGUAUUAUCGAAAAUGUCGCAUUCACCCCCCGUAGUAUUAAGAAUACCAAAAACCCCCCUCCGUUUCUGCCUUUUGCCAGUGAAGUCUGUAUGGGCCAUGUGUCCCUCUAUAUUUAUAUAUUUAUGUACAUAUAUAUAUAUAUAUAUAUAUAUAUAUACCACCCCCUAUAUAUAUAUAUAUAUAUACCCCCCAUAUAUAUUUACUGUUUUAUACAAUUAACAAAACAGAUAAAAAAAACUAUAAACUUAUAGAAACAAUUAAAAUACAAAACUUCAAGUUUCAAUUAUUGAUUUAUAAAUAAUUAUAGUUUUGAAAAUUUUAAAUUGCAAAUUAUAAAUUUAUUACAAAAAAAAUACUAGGAAUUACUAAAUAAUGAAAUAUUCUCUAAUAAUUUAUAAAAUGACAAAAAUUAUAAACAAAUACUUUGUUGUUGAAAUUCAAUAAAUAUUAUAAAAUAAAAUAAAUAUAUGUACAAAAGUACAAGAAUCCUCCUAGCCCAACCAUUGGAAUAUAUAAAGAAAAAAAAAAUUCUUUCCACCAUUCUCCAAUCUGCACAUAAAUCAGCAACAUUUUUCUUCAUCAUCUUCUAAACAUCAUCAAAAUCCCAUCCCACCACCAACAAAUUGUCCAAAUCUCAUCACACCACCACCAACAACAACCACCCAUUCCAACCUAAUCCCCGCUCGUAGUACAAGAACCCAUCACCGGAUUUCGUGAAACAGUGCUGAUUUUUUUUGUGUUUGAGGAUUCGAUGUGAAGGUAACCGCCUUAUAUGAAUGGAAUUUGUGGAGAGGGUCGUGAUUCCCUGUGGAAGAACCCACCCUGGCUAGCCGGCGAUGUUGUGGUGACGGGGAAGGGCCGCGGCAUCAGAAGCCUGCAGCGGCGGUGGUCGAGGCAGAGGUGACGGCAGGGGCGGACCCAGAGGAUUUUGGGUGGGGGGGCAAAAAAAAGUUUUGGGGUUAAAUGGUAUAAAAUUUUAACUUUGGGGGGGCUAAAGUGUAUAAAUUAAUACAUAAAUAAGCCAAAAUAUUAAAAAAAUAAAAAAAAAAGGUAAAUUUUUUUUUUUCUGCAGGGGCGGGUGCCCCCCCAACAAAAGCCUUGGGUCCGCCCCUGGGUGACGGUGUAUUGAAGGGAGGGGAUCGAUGGUGGUGGUGUACCGACGGCAGCGAUGGUGUAUCCUCUCGACAUGAGGGGAUCGAUGGUGAUGGAGGUGGUGAAUCCAUCGUCUCCGUACUCCUUGAUUUUGGUGGUGGGUGGCGGAUAAAUUUUGGAGAAAGUAAAAGACAAAAAGAGAGGGUAUAAGAGUAAUUGCACUGCAAAAUUGAACACCGUCAAUUUUUUGUUGACUGACUGUUAAAAAUAGGGGGGGUUUUGUAGUUUUUAAUACUACAGGGGGUGAAUGCGACCUUUUUGAUAGUACAAUGGUGCAAACUGUAAUUUAUCCUUUCUUAUAUAAAGAAAAAAAACACAUUUUUUUAUGAAAAAAAAGGAAAAAGAAAAGAGAAGAGAGAAAAUUGCGUUUCCCCAUAUUUCUUCUUCCCCCAUUGAAAUUGCCACAACCACUGGCAAACUCCCACCGCCACCACCGGCAAUCACCUCGUCAAACCGCCACCUCCAAACAGAGAGAAAGAACAUGUCUUGCCCAAAAUUCUUCAUCCCAUUGAAAUCACCACCACCAUCAAACUCACGCCGCCGCCCCUUCCACCACCAGCCUCCUCCGCUCUUAUCGUCCCCUCCACCGCCAACUUCUCCUUGCCAAUUCCACACCAGUCGAUUCUUCUUUUGGAAUGAAAUCGAUUUUACAUAUUUUUAUAAUUUUUAUUCUAUAAAAUCGAUUCUAUGUUACAAAUAUUUCAUUACUAUUAAAUAAGCUUUUAAUAACUCGGACAACCUUCUCGCAUAAUUCUCCGGCAACAUACCUCGGGAGGUUUUUAUAAUAUCACAUUAUAUAGGGGGAUUUUCGUAAUUAGACAUUACCUCAGGGAGGUUCUCAUAAUUUAUCCUUUACUUUUUUAAAUGCUAGAAGGGUAAAACAGACAAAAUGCAUAUUAUGUGAGUUUAAAACAUUAGUCAUGAUAGGGAGAUUUUUAUAGCUAUCCAAACAUGAGGGGUAUUUUCAUAUCUAGGCCUUAUCUCAGGAGGUUUCUCGUAAUUUGCCCUAUAUAAUUUUAAUUAAGGGGUAAUAUGUAAUACCCCUGUUUAGAAAAUAUAUUGAACUAAACCCAUUUGACUUAAGACUUUUUCCUAUACAAAAAUCCCAUUUAGAAGAUUCCACUAAAUUUGACAAUGUAAGGGUGGACGUGUAAGAAGAUUCAUAGUUGAGGGGUGUAAUUGUAAUUACCAAAACAUGAGGGUUUUUUUUGUAAUUUAACCAUACCUCAGGGGUGGUCGUAAUUUACCCAAUAUCGCUAUGGUAGUAUUAAGUUGCCACUUCGGUCGUGCUUUUUGUAUCUUGAUCCUCCUUUAUCCUCAUUUCUUGUAUUAUUGCUUUGCCCCAAAAGUAUGUUGUUAUCGUGUUUAAUUUAGUGAUGCUAAAGUUUAAAGUUUUAUUGUUUCUAUAUUAUGUACGUGCAGAUUGAAUUUGAAUGAUCAUGGAGCAAAGUCUGCAGAUAAGUCAAAGGGGAAAGAGAAGGUGAGUUCCUAGUGUUAAUGAAAGAUGCAGUUUGUUUGUAAAUUCGAUAAUUCAAAUUGUUCGUAGAAGUUUUGUAGCCAUGCGGCAGAAGUUUUGUUCCUUCGAGUAGAAAAAUCACGAUCUUGAAAACGAAAAGAUAAAUAUAAGUAUUAUAGCAAGUCAUUGAUGAGACAAAGUAUGUAUAAGGGAAACUAAAUUGUAUCAGGAAAUUUGGAUCGAGAUUCUGGACUGGUUCUUCGGCUUUCAUGCAAUUCUACAUGUUUCGAGUAAAGGUGAUUUUAACAUAUUUUUCUGCUAAAAGAAGUCUCUUUCAUCUGAAUUGGUUUUCAUUACGGUAUUCUUCUUAAUUUGUAUCUUUUUAUUGCAGGUUUCUGAUGGGCGAGAGAGAUAAUAUUUGAUGAUGCAAUGUUAAGAGCUUAAUUGAUUUCUUUGUUUGCUAAUCGCAAUUAAGGACUUGUUCGGAUUUUCUCGUUUUUUUUGGCAAGAAUUAGAUAAUUUAUGGGUUUUGUUUAUUUUGGAGUAAUCAGUGUUUGUGAUUAUUCUUUACUUGUUGAUUUGAGGAAUAAUUCUUAUGGGUUGGGGAUGUCGCGGUUUUGACUGAUAUAGUAGUUCGACGUAUGGCAUAUAAAUAGGUGUGUAAACGAAUCGGGUCGAACCAAAUAUAUUUUUUUUAGGGGGAAACUACAGUUUGCACCCCUGAACUAUGGGGUCUGUCACAAACACCCCCUGAACUACAAAACGUAACAAAAUGGCCCCUCCGUUUCGAAUCUGUUAGUGGAUGAUGACGUGGCAUAUUGACUUUUAUGGUUUCGUAGCAGUUUUAUGACUGUUGAUUUUGAUUUUACGUUUUGCCCCCAAGACCGGUACAUAUAAGGGUCUGAAAUACCCUUUCCAAAACUAUGGGGACAUAAAUCAAAAUUUUGAUUCUUUCGAAAUGACCUCAAAUAAGGGUCAACUGAAACAUAGGGGACCGAAUUGCAGUUUUACAAAAUAGUUUGUAAAGCCCAAAUUUUAUUUUCUUCAUCCAAAACCACCACCACCCAGCACUCGUCUUUCACCGCAAAAACCACUCCACAACCCAGACAUCAUCACCACCUAAAAUACAUUGGCACACACCUACGCCGCCGUAGUCCGCCGUCGGAUCCCCGUACAACCCCUUAUGCGAAUUGUGCCACCCAAUUUUUCACUGUCAAUCGCGCAACGACCCCACUAUCGAAACAACACCGCCGAAAAAAACAUUAGCACACACCUCACACCGCCGUAGUCCGACGGAUCCCCGCACAAAUCCGCUGAUUUCACAGCCCAAAAUAGGGGUUUGAUGGUAGAAAGAGUGUUGAGUUGUGGGUGUUCUUGAAUUUUGUGUUAAUUUGCCGAAAAAUAAAGUAAAUUUAUAAAAUAGUAUAUGAAGUAUGUUGGGUUUCUUGCUUCUCCCUAUCACGACGAUGAAGAAGACCGAAUAGGAGAGACACGGUUAAAAAAAAGGACAAAGAAAAGGUGGUGUUGGUUGACGGAGUUAGGUUUUAAAGGGCAAAAAGGUAAAUUUACAAGAAAACUGACGGUGUGAGUUUUUUAAACGUUGACCAUAAAUGACAGGGACUAUUUUGGUACGAUUUGUAAUUUAAGGGAGUGUUUGUGACAAGCCCUAUAGUUCAGGGGUGCAAACCCGUACUUUCCCCAAUUUUUUAAUGUUUAUCAAGCUUUCACAAUUGUGUUUAAGCUUGGUACCAUAAAGAAAUUCAGCCGAGCUCGAACGAGCUUUAAUCUUACAAUAAUUUAAUCUUUUAAUUAUUCCUGACACCAAAACCAUCCGACUCGAUUAUAUUACCAAAUUCAUGAGAUUUGAGUUGGAAUAGAAAGUUUUCGUAUUCAAAAUGAGAUAAUUUCGUAUCGAAAAAAAAUAAAAAUUCAAUAUCGUGAUACGUUCAUUUCGCGUCAUCCAUAUGCCAGCAAGAUGCCUAGUCAUGAGAUAAACUCGUUUUCAAAAUGAUCCAAUCACACCGUGCCACGUAUUUAGGGGAUGCCACAUGUAGUCCAUUUUGCGCAAAUCGACGUCACGGCUCUCUGUCUCCCCUCUAUAAAUGAACCCUUCAUUUCCCCAUUGUAGUAUCCAUUGUUUUCCUUCAACUUCUUUAUUUUACAAAGAAAUGUUUGUUUCAAGUUCUUAAGAGAGAUUCUGAGGGUACAUGAGGUAAUUAGCCCCUCUUCGACCUUUCAAUUUGAGUGUUGUAUAUUUGUUAAUUCUUGUUUUAGAGUUCGUGAUAUAAAUAUUUACGAGAUCAUUUAGAUUGAUUCUCGUGAUUUUCGAGACAUUUGUGAUUAUUUUUUACAGUUAAGAGUGCAUGCGCAAAUGUAAUCAACCGUACGAUGAAUGUUAUAUUAGAUAAACUAUCGGUUACUGUUAAACCAGACGUUCGUUUAUUGGUAACUCCGCCUGGUUUAACAGUAACUGAUGAUUUAUCUAAUUUAAGAGAAGGAAACAAGUCCGAGAAUCUCAAAACUGAUGGCAAGUCAAAUGAAAAUCAAACGACAACAUCACAAUGUGGCGAUGAACGUGCAAAAUUUAGCCAGCCCAAAUUUUUCCAGGACGUUGAACGUAUUGGAGUAGAUGCCACGUGUCAGGUGGAAGGUGGUUUAGCAGUAACUCCACCUGGCUGAACGAUAAGCAUGAUUUUCCUAUUUGGAAAAAAAGGAGUCGGAAACCGAACUCCUUACUGAAACCAGAUGAAGGCUACGAUCCUUUGUGGAUGUUGUUGGCUGAAUCGCGAAACAAUAUCUGUAAAAGCAACGAUCCUCGAUCGGGAUAUCUCCUGAAGAUAAAAGUAGAGACAAGACUCUUGUUUCUGAAUCAUGACAGUUUACAUUGUUGUUAUACAGUAGAAUCUCGAUAAUGCAAUAAUCUCGCUUAAAUAAUAGUUUCUCUCAGACCCGACUCGGUGAGAAUGUGUUAAAUCAUUAACUCGAUAAUUUGAUAAAUCGCUACAUUAAUAGAAUUUCUCUAAUCCCGACUCGCAAAUAUGGAAUGUACGUAAAUAAAGUAACGACAACUCAACGCGGGGGGACUUCGAUUUAAAAGGGACUUCUAGGGCCAAAUCCACCUAUGUAUAAUCAACAACGAUCUACAAAUCCGUUGUCUAAAAUCACAUUCCUAUUCGUUAACCCAGACGCUAAUGUACUCUAACCACCGUCUCCAGUGUAGUUAGAGUCUACCCACAGGUCCGACGUCUCCGUUCAGAACCUGCUAUUAAGAGAGCAUUUAGGUCAAGUCCUUAAGGGCUACCCGAAGUGCAUCACGUCUCCGUUUCCACACCCCGAGCUAUGUUUUCCUAACUUCAAACAAGAAAUCCUCUCUCGAGUUCAUUCCUAUUUAAUAACAAUCCGAGAGCUGAUCAAACAAUCAGAAGCAUUUAAUACAGGAAAACAUAAACGAAAUCAAAACACGACAAAUAGAUAACAUAAAUGACGAUCGAAAUCAAUAUAUACAAGGUUUCAUUACCCUAGAAGAAAAUGUUCUUAGUUCAUAACAAACAUAGAGUCAAAAGAGUGUACAAAGGAAAUGAAGAACAAAACGUAAAGAAAUUGCAUAAGAAAAACCCAAGUCGAAACCCCCGUUGAUGAUUCACGCGAAAAACUGUCGAAAACCGUAAAAAGUCGAAGCGUCGUUCUAAGAGUGAGGGCUUGCUUCUAUUUAUAGUAAGGCAAAGCUUCUUGAGGAAGCUUUGCCUUUUUAGAUAUUUUUUACACAUCCCGAGGCCAUAUCGCGAUAUGGGCAUCAGUAUCGGGCGAUAUGGUAAAAUUGCAAGCACUCUGUUUCGUGUUCUGCCAUAUCGCGAUAUGGGAGGUUAUAUCGCGCGAUAUGGUAAAAUUGCAAGCUCUCUGUUUCGUUUUCUGCCAUAUCGCGAUAUGGGAGGUGAUAUCGCGCGAUAUGGCAAAAGCCCAAUCGCUCUGUUUAGUUUUCUGCCAUAUCGCGAUAUGGGAGGGUAUAUCGCGAUAUGGUCACUGCAAUAACUUCAAGCUCUGUUUUGACCAUUUUUCAAUCCGAAUGUGGCAAAAAUGCAUUUCAGCAAAGUUGUAGCCCUCGCAGUUGGCUUUGUAAAUCCAUUUGAAUCAGCUCAAUCGGAGGUCGUGUGAAGAAGUUAUGCGUACAAUACCGAACGCUGCCACCAUCCACUUGAUUGUAAUUUUUGCUCUUGUUUGACUUGAUUCUCGGCUUCGCUUUCAAAAUCGUUUCGAAUCGGCCAAAAUAGCUAACAAAACCUAAAAAUGGAAAUAAAACAAGAAACGCAAUAAUAUAUACAAAUAUAGCCGAAACUCGGACGAACGAAGACCAAAACUCGAAGAUUUGAUAAGCAAAAAUAGUGCAAAACGAACACUUAUCACACCCUCAAACUUAGAUCUUUACUCGUCCCGAGUAAAUCAAAACGAAACAAAAACAAAAAGGAAAUAGAAACAACAAACUAAAACUAGGCCUCUAACGUAGGGAAACACAAUUGCAUUUAGCAUAUGCAACAAGCCUUUGAACCCCUGGGUACCCCCAAAGGACGAGUUGAGUCUCGUGAGGGUUUUCAGACAACACACCCACAAAGUUGCCAGAUUGGUCAAAGCAUUGCAAUUGAUUCCAAAGAUAAAACGAGCUAGAUAACCUAAAAUCUCAGAAUGGCAAACGACUUAAGGUAUUCGACUUUCUUACCGACGCAAUUAGUUGUUUCUACACCAAAAUGAAAGAUAGACUCAAGAAUCCGUAAUUAAACAGUAAAUACAAUAAUCGAGGGUUUUGAGUAGAAAUGUGGAUGAAAAGUAAGUUUUGAUUCUGAAAUUCAGAAACUCGAGUUGGGCAUAAGUAGGUCUAUUUAUUCAAUAGAAAAAUUGACAACAACAACAAUUUUUUUGGUGAUUUUCAUCACAACUUUUUCUUUUUUUCAUCUUUUUUUGAAACGGGUAUAAUCGUGAUUCGUGCAAGGCUCGAUACCACUGUGUUAUCUCUCUGACCCAUGUAUCGAACUUUAGUACAAGAAACCCCCAAGCUUGACAGCUCGAGAGACUAGGCGACGAGGUGCACCCAACGGGUUAAGCUCGAGUCAGAAAGGCGGGGAAAUCAGAGCGUGAAUCACAACAAUACCAUAUAUUUUUUUGUUUUUCUCAAUUUUUUUUUAAACAUAAUUUAACAACACAAUAACAUAACAUAAAGACGAAAAGACCAUUGAUAGAACUUUUAGCCAACAACUCGAAUUGUGAACACAUAAUUCAAUUCUAACUCGCCCCCCAAAGCUCAAACUAUUAUACCCCUCAGAAAAGUGCGCUCAAGCUUAAUCGGAAAGGAUUCGAAAGGCUAUCCAUACAAGUUGCAAAAACGCAGUCGGAAGGUUCAUCUAUUAUUAGCCGGUUAUGCACAAUUUCAAUUUUAAAAUCAACUAGCCAGUCUACUAAUUCAUUAAUUGCUUUGCUUCAAUAGAAUCCGGAAAUGCAACUUACACUCGAUCCUAAAUGAAAUGCAUGUGACAAACAUAACACAAUUACGGAAAUCGAAACACAUAAAUGAAACUAAAUUAUAUGAUAUGCAUGCAAAAGACCAAAUCAAAAUAAGCUAAACUCACCCCCAAACUUAAAUCAUGCAUUGCCCGAAAAAUAAAAGAAAUGAGAAAGAAAUACGCCCUGAACAGUCGUGCCGCAGAUUGAUCAGUGUUCUACGGUUGCGAAAGUGUUCUUUGGUUGCACGGGGUGCCAUGAAUUUUAGCACCGAGGGCGAAUUGCCGGAGUUAUGUAGACUUCACCGACUUCUUACUCUUCUUUUCUUGGGAACGAGAUACCGGCAAAAAUCAAGAAAAUGGGUGAAAUAUAGCUUAAACCAAAAAAACAAAAAAAUGCUAAAACGACAAAAACGACAAAAACGACAAAAACAAAGAAAAUAAAUGAAGAUAAAAAAAUAAUGGGUUGCCUCCCAAUCAGCGCAUGUUUACUGUCGACGGCUCGACAUAAUUUGGACGGAUUAUGUCCAAUCCAAAACCUUGUAGAUUGCUAAUCCAUCCAUCAGUCUUGAUAUAUACUUUGCAAUCAUAUCAUGGACUAUAUUGCAAUCACGUAGUGCCCAUCCCAUCCCAUGGAACUUCUCGUUUGCUUUGGAAAUCAGUCGGUAGGAGACUAGAAUGGGUUGCUUGCCUACUGAUCUCUCAAACUCGUACACAAGAUAUUCGAGCUUUGGAGUAAGCUCUACCUCAAAUUUGAAACUCGUCUCCUCGCUCACACUCAAAUCCGGAGUAGCAAUGUGGAUAGGAUUUUGUUCAUCAAGUUCCUCUACCAUCAUCUUCAUCCCACUCUCAUCACACGCAAAAGUAUCUACAGAACUGGGAUGAAUAAUUCCCUCAAGGUGCUCAACCUCAUCGUUUAUACGAAAAUCUGUAAAUACCUCGUUGUCUUCAUAAAGGAUGGUCGGAUGUGGUUUGUGAAUGUGACAUCUCUGAAAAUUUUCGAAAAUAUUCGCCAGAAAGUGGAGUUCGUCUUUUAAAUAGCACAAGUGCUCAUUUGUCUGUGCAAUUCCAUUUUCUGGGUUCAACCUUCGAUGUCUUUCAAUAUCCUCCAACUCUUGUUGAAUGUAAUAAGCUCUGGAUUGAAUCUUGCAAAGAGAGAGAUCAUAAAUCGAGGCCAUCAAUGUAUACAAGCCUGCGGAAAACAAAUGAAAAAAAUCAAAACAAAAAUAAUGAAAGAAAAAAAAAUGUCUAAAUUAAAGCAAGGAUAGUUGGUAACGAUAUUAGUAAAUUCAAGAUUAACUAAUUCCCCGGCAACGGCGCCAAAAACUUGAUACGCGUUUUCCUCACGUAUAAAUUAACGCAAGUAUACAGUAUCGCAUUUUGCAGAACAGUGGUUCCGGAUAUCGAUCCACAGGGACCUUGUAGAUUCACAUGCUGAGUAGUGUAAUUAUAUUAUCGUUAUAUUAUCUAGCCGAUCGUAAAUAUUUGGAUUGGUGAUAAACCGUAAUUUAUAAGCAUGCAAGAUCGUAAACAUGCAAAUAUGGAAUGUACGUAAAUAAAGUAACGACAACUCAACGCGGGGGGACUUCGAUUUAAAAGGGACUUCUAGGGCCAAAUCCACCUAUGUAUAAUCAACAACGAUCUACAAAUCCGUUGUCUAAAAUCACAUUCCUAUUCGUUAACCCAGACGCUAAUGUACUCUAACCCCCGUCUCCAGUGUAGUUAGAGUCUACCCACAGGUCCGACGUCUCCGUUCAGAACCUGCUAUUAAGAGAGCAUUUAGGUCAAGUCCUUAAGGGCUACCCGAAGUGCAUCACGUCUCCGUUUCCACACCCCGAGCUAUAUAUGUUUUCCUAACUUCAAACAAGAAAUCCUCUCUCGAGUUCAUUCCUAUUUAAUAACAAUCCGAGAGCUGAUCAAACAAUCAGAAGCAUUUAAUACAUGAAACCAUAAACGAAAUCAAAACACGACAAAUAGAUAACAUAAAUGACGAUCGAAAUCAAUAUAUACAAGGUUUCAUUACCCUAGAAGAAAAUGUUCUUAGUUCAUAACAAACAUAGAGUCAAAAGAGUGCACAAAGGAAAUGAAGAACAAAACGUAAAGAAAUUGCGUAAGAAAAACCCAAGUCGAAACCCCCGUUGAUGAUUCACGCGAAGAACUGUCGAAAACCGUAAAAAGUCGAAGCGUCGUUCUAAGAGUGAGGGCUUGCUUCUAUUUAUAGUAAGGCAAAGCUUCUUGAGGAAGCUUUGCCUUUUUAGAUAUUUUUUACACAUCCCGAGGCCAUAUAACGAUAUGGGCAUCAGUAUCGGGCGAUAUGGUCACUGCAAUAACUUCAUGCUCUGUUUUGACCAUUUUUCAAUCCGAAUGUGGAAAAAAUGCAUUUCAUCAAAGUUGUAGCCCUCGCAGUUGGCUUUGUAAAUCCAUUUGAAUCAGCUCAAUCGGAGGUCGUAUGAAGAAGUUAUGCGUACAAUACCGAACGAUGCCACCAUCCACUUGAUUGCAAUUUUUGCUCUUGUUUAACUUGAUUCUCGGCUUCGCUUUCAAAAUUGUUUCGAAUCGGCCAAAAUAGCUAACAAAACCUAAAAAUGGAAAUAAAACAAGAAACGCAAUAAUAUAUACAAAUAUAACCGAAACUCGGACGAACGAAGACCAAAACUCGAAGAUUUGAUAAGCAAAAAUCGUGCAAAACGAACACUUAUCAGUACUCGUCCUCUAGGGGAUGGGAAUAUAGGUUUUUUUUUUUUGGUAGGGUGAUGAUGGUGAUUUUGACGAAAAAAUUGACGAUGAAUAUUCAAACGAGUACAAUAAUCCGAAUAUGUGUUAUCAUGUUCCUUAAAUAAUUACAAAAUUCGAUAUUUAAAAAAAAAUAAAAAAAAAAUUAAAACAUGAAGUUCCCGUUGUUCCCGUGUUCUGCAGCACGGGGGAUUCAUAUUUUAAUUUUUUUUCCGAAAAUAAAAAUUUAAAAGUUUUUUGAGCUUCCCGUUCCACAGAGCAUGAAAACUUGAAGAAAGUUUAAGUUUCCGUGCUUUGCAGAACGGGAAGUUCAAAAAACUUGAAUUCUCCGUUCUAUUACCGGAAUCGAGCCUCGUUUGCUGUGAAUUCAAAGUCGAAAAAAUUUCCGAAAUUCAAUUGUCUUGAGAGAGUUUGGGAGUAGGAGAGUAAAUUUACAAAAAAAAAAUUAAAUGAAAAAGAUUCCGCUGUAUUCAGUUAACCCCGCUGCAAAUAGCAACACCCGAUUAUUAAUAUUGGCAUUAGAAAAUCAAAAUCUAGUGUUAAAAUAUGGACUCGAAAAGGAAAUUAAUCCUUCACCUAACAGUACAUUCACCGUUUGUUUGAUGUUACACCUGGUGAAAUACACCGGAUGAUUAUUAACCGUUGAUCUGCGCACAAUCACACAAACAUCCAUGUAUAUAUGUGCUUGCUUCGCCUAAUAGUACUUUCACCCAUGUGAUUAUCACGUGCCAAUUGAAGGGCAAAAUUGUACUUUGAGUUAGACAUGACAUUAACCCACCAUUUUCUCCUUUCAACUUUCAUCACGCAUGACUAGUCAACCAUUGCUGCCUCCAUUUCUGUACACCAUUCAUUUUCUCUCUCGCAUUUUUUUUAUUAUCGUAAGAUACAUUCAUACUAUAGUACUACAAAGGACUCCAUCCUUGAGCAAAGAUGGAGUGAUUCUUGAUUCUUCUUGAUUCUCAACCUCAAGAAUUGUUCUGAAAACCAAUUCGAUUUUCGGGAGAUAGAGAGAGAGAGAUGGCGGCUUACGCAGCUCUACUUUCUCUCAGGCAUAUCAUCGAACAGAUUCAGCAUCACCCUCGCCCUCCAUUUUCUCUUGACCAAAACCAGGUCCAAUCUCUCACCGACAACCUCAUUUUCUUACAAGAGUUUCUUGAGCAGGGAUAUCCUUGUGUUGGCAUCAGCAAUUGAUGUUUUUGAAAGUCGAAUUGCAGAAGCAGCUCAUGCAGCCGAAGAUAUAAUCGAAACCCAUGUUGUUGAUCAAAUUCUUACUGAAUCGACUGCUCAAGCGUCGAAAGAUAUAACCGAAACCUGGGUUAGUGAUCAAAUUCUUGGUGGAUCGUCUGCAGUGGCGGAUCCAGGAUUUUUGCCAAGGGGUUCGAAAUUGUAGAAAAAAAAAUUAAAAUAUCACUUUAUAAAAAUAGUGGACCAAAAAUUUAUAAUUUAUAAAUUUUAGGUGAAUUGUGGAAAUAUUUAAAGACCAAAAAGUUGAAAAAUGUUAAGAUUUCAAACAAAUUCCAUUAUUGUGAGGGUGGGUUUCGAACCCAUGACCUAUUAAUAAAAAAAGACAUAUAUUUACCACUUCAACCAACUGCCUUUUCUUUUAUUUCAUGUAUAAUAGUAAUAUUUACUGAACAUCAAGGGUGUGCAACUGCACACCCUAGACCUACAUCCGCCACUGAUCGUCUGCCCAGGAUUUUGUCGAAAGAUAUAACCGAAAAACGAAGAAUACUAGAAGGCAAGAUCGUCUGCCCAGGAUUUUGUCCACUUUUUGUGGUGCUGGUUCAUCAAGAUCUCCGUCAAUGAGCCAGAAAGUCGUAGCUGGUUUAGAUGUCGUGGAAAAAAUCAGUUCCGUCGACUUGUACCGAGAUCUCGAUAAGGUGAUCCAAGACAUGGGUUUAAUCAAGAAAGAUGUGAUGGAGAUUAAAGAGAAGAAUAUUGGAAUAAUCGAACAUCAUCUGCACAUAAAUUCUUCAACUCUUGCUGGUGCUGCCUCAUCAAGGUCUCAUUUAAAAACGAAGCAGGAAACCAUGGUUGGUUUUGAUGAGCUCUUAAUUGAAGUAAUGGAUAAGCUCAUUGGACAACACUCUAAUCUCUGCAUAAUCCCGAUUGUUGGAAUGGGCGGCAUUGGUAAGACUACUCUUGCUAGAAAUGCCUACGUUAAGUUUAUGAAGCACUUUGAUAUUCGAGCUUGGGUUACAGUAUCUCAAAACUACAAUGUGCGAGAAAUUCUUAUAGAAAUUCUUCUUUGUAUAAACAAAGUUGACAGCCGAGAAACCUUGAGUGCGAAGAAUGAGGGUGAAUUAGGUGUAAAAGUACACCAAAGUUUAUGGGGAAGGAGAUAUUUGAUUGUAAUGGAUGAUAUUUGGAGUGUUGAGGUAUGGGAUAAAGUGAAUCUCUUCUUUCCAGACAAUGGUGAAAGAAGCAGAAUAAUGAUAACCACUAGGCUGUCAGACGUUGCUUCGAUUGGCUCUCAUGGCGUUGUGAUGGAUUUCUUAAAUGAGCAUAAAAGUUGGAAUCUACUUUGCAAAUCUAUAUUAGAAGAAGAAGAAGACUGCCCUCCUGAAUUGGAGGAAAUAGGAAAGAAGAUUGCCAAAAAUUGCGAAGGACUUCCUUUAUCAAUAGUUGUGAUUGGAGGACACCUAGCGAAGUCUAAGCGCACAAGAGAACAUUGGGAAUAUAUUUCAGAAAACAUAAAAAAAAUUGUAAAUUCGGAAGACGAUGAACGUUGCUUAAAAGUAUUACAAUUGAGUUAUAACCAUUUGCCGGUACAUCUAAAGCCAUGUUUUCUUUAUAUGGGAGUUUUUCCUGAGGACAAAAAGAUCCGUGUCUCGUGGCUCGUAAAACUAUGGGUUUCUGAAGGAUUUGUGAAACCAAUUAACGGCAAAAGCUUGGAAGUGGUUUCGAGAGAGUACUUGCAGGAGCUCUGUGAUAGAAACUUGAUUUUAGUUCAUAAAAGGGGGUCUAAUGGAAAUAUAAAGUUUUGCAAAAUCCAUGAUCUCUUGAGGGAACUAUGCUUGAGAGAAGCUGAGAGAGAGAAGUUCCUUUAUGUCAGAAGACCGCACGAACUUACCAUUCCACAGGGCAUAAAUACCCAACGCCGCAUUUGUAUUCAUCAAAGCAUGUCGGAGAAGGAUUAUCACCUUGAUCCAGUUCUUCGUACGUUGCAGUAUGUGCCUCUUGUUCGUUCUCCGAUUUGCAAUUUUGAAGAACGUUUACCAUUACUUGAUUUUAGAUUGUUGAGGGUGCUGAAAGCCGAUGAUAAAAAGUCAUAUUUCGUUAACAUCAGACAAUACGGAUAUUCCGUAGAUGUUGUCUUUCGGCUAGUUAACCUGAGGUUCAUUGCUAUCCGAUCUGACAGGCCUAGGAGGUCCAGAUUUCCUUCUUCAGUCAAUCUCCUUUGGAAUCUACAGACUUUAAUUGUAAAUGGUAUCUUUGGCGUUGUUGCACCAUGUGAAAUUUGGAACAUGACUCAACUUAAGCAUGUUCAUUUCGAUGGACUUGAGUUGCCUGAACCUCCCAUCGUUGGGAAAGAUGACAAGUUUAUUUUGGGGAACCUACAGACGCUCACUGAUAUACUCAAAUUCAAAUGUGGAGAAGAGGUGGUCAAGAGAAUCCCCAAUAUCAAUAAAUUACAAAUAUCUUACUUUGAGGAACCUCAAGAAUUUUUGAGUUACACUCUCGACAAUCUUGGCCAUCUACAUAAACUCGAGUCCUUACGUUUCUCCCUUCAUUCCGAAAAUAAGCCAUCCCUGAAUGAUAUGGUGCAGAAUUUCAUCCUCCCCAAUUCCCUCAAGAAGUUGACUUUGAUAGGGACCAAGCUCAAAUGGGAAGACAUGAACACAAAGAUAGGUUUGUUACCCAAUCUUCAAGUCCUCAAACUGAAGGAAUAUUCUUUUGUGGGGACCGAGUGGGAAACUGUUGAAGGGCAAUUCUGCAACCUUAAAUUCUUGCUAAUCCACAUGUGUAGUGAGCUGGAAUGGUGGGCGACAGAUAGCUCCCACUUUCCGCGCCUCGAGCAUCUUCAACUUCAGUUCUUGGAUAAGUUGAAGGAGAUCCCUUCAUGUAUUGGAGAAAUAUCAACGCUUCAAUCGAUUCAGUUGCUUCGUUGUAGCGACGAAGCUGUCAUUUCUGCUAAAGAAAUAUUGAAGGAACAAGAGGAUUUUGGCAAUGUAGACUUUCGACUCGUAGAGUAAGAAUAGUCCCAACUUUCAAGUUGAAUCUUGGUGAGAACUCAAUCUUCAUAACAUGAUCCUUCUGCUAUAUAUAUGUGUGUGUGUGUGUGUGUGUGUGUGUGUGUGAGUGAUAAUUUUAUUUUUAGGAUUAAAUUCUUUUAAACAAAUUUGCGAUCUUCUCCGUCUACAUCUAGUCCAUCCACAUUUGAUUUUGAGUUUCUACUUUUGAUUGUUUUCUUUAACGUUGUACCUACACAAAUUUGACUUACAGCAAUAUACAAUGAACCUACAUGGAGCAUAAAUCGAAGAAUGGAGGCCUGUGAGCGGAUCGCUUGUCGCUUUAUUGAACUUAGAUUAACAAUUUGGUAUGUUGGAAUUUACAAUUCAUUGUUUUUAUGUUGAAGAUACCUUCUUCCUGUCAUUCGAUUUGGCGUGAAAUUUAGCCUCCGGUUAAUUUAUUGGAAGCAUUUGUGUGAGCUUGUAAACAAUUUCUACUUUGGUUUUCUUUCAUGUAAUUUCUUUUUGAGGCUUUGCGUAAUAGUUGGUUUUUUAACAUUUGAACUGGAUUUUAUUCUUCGUUAUAGGGGUACUCUUUUCCUUGUGUUAGGUCCCUUUGUACUUUUUUUCUAUAUGGAAUAAAAUCUUUUUUGGCCAAAAAAAAAAAAAAAAGAGACUCAAGGAUUGUACUAUUGUGUCUUUAUUUAAAUCUUAAAUCAUUUUGAUGUUGUGCUUCAGUUUAAUUGAUUUCGUUGAGACCCAACUGCUCGAUUCUACAAAUCAUGAAAAGCUCGUAAAUGAUGAAACAUCACGAAUUUAUGAUUUGUUUGACGAAAUCGAUUUUUGUUGUGAUAUAUUCCUUUGAACCAAAGAGACUCCGUCAAAAUUCACACCGUAAGGGGACUGCGUAAGACGGCUACAAACUUCAGGGGAGUUUUGAUCAUUAUGGAUACGUGAGGGGUUUUUUUUUCUUUAGUAAAUUGACCUAAGUUCAGAGGGUUUCUAGUAAUUUACCCUUAUUUUUUUCUUUCGUAAAUUGACCCUAAGUUCAGAGAUAUAAAAUCUAAUUAUCAUCUGUAUUAGUGACAGUACAGAACAAUGCCAUGUGUGGUAGUAUUGCAAUUUUACAAUAUUAAAUUGAUCAAAGAAAAGUUUUGAAAGUAGCACGAAAAAAAUUAUUUUUCGUUAAUUCAUUUUUCGUUUGUAUCGAUUAUGUUUGAUUGAAGCGUAAAGUAAUUCACCUAGCAUCGUUUAUUAUAUUUCGGACGGGUUUCCUCUGUUUCAUUAAGAUAAUCUAAUUGAAAUACUGGAUUGUGUCAGCCUUUAAUGUAUCUGUUUAUUCGUUGCUGUACAAUCAAAAUCAAUUUGAACACUCAGUUACCGCAAAUAGAUCACGUAUUCGUGAUCGUUCAUCAUUUGCAAACUUUUCAAGAUUUGUAGAAUUAAUCCAGCAGUUGGGUCUCAACAACCUUGGCCGUCUAUGUAAACUCGAAUUCUUGCGUUUCUCGUUAUAUUCCCUAAUAAAGAAGGCAAACUAGAAUGAUUUGAUGCAGAACUUGAUCCUCCCGAAUUCGCUCAAGAAGUUGACCUUGUACGGGACCAAUCAGUAAUGGGAAGACAUGAAGGCGAAGAUAGGCUUGUUACCCAAUCGGCUUUCAUUUCUGCUAAAAGAAUAUUGGAUGAACAAGAGGAUCUUGGCAAUUUCGGCCUUCGAGUUCGAGCCUAAGAUUCUUGCAAAUAUUCGGGUGUCGGGAUCUAGAAUGUUGGACGAUAGACAGCACCCACUUUCCACGCCUUGAGCAUCUGGAUCUUCAAUACUUGGAUAAGUUAUGGAAAUCCGUUGUGUGAAAGUUCUGGAAAUCCGUUGAUGCCAUAGGAAAAGCUAAGGCUGAUGAGCACCACGAAGAGGAAGAAAAGUCAAAGUCGAUGGCAGUUACGUAUUCUUAUUCAUUCUUCCACAUUAUAUUCUCUCUAGCUAGCAGCAUGUACUCUGCAAUGAUCCUUACAGGAUGAUCAACUUCAUGUGUUUUAAAUUUUUACGUUUCAAAGUAUUACAGAGC
rnacentral:lncRNA from 1 species